rnacentral:rRNA from 1 species
GUGGAUUAGAUACCCGGGUAGUCCACGCCCUAAACGAUGCGAACUGGAUGUUGGGUGCAAUUUGGCACGCAGUAUCGAAGCUAACGCGUUAAGUUCGCCGCCUGGGGAGUACGGUCGCAAGACUGAAACUCAAAGGAAUUGACGGGGGCCCGCACAAGCGGUGGAGUAUGUGGUUUAAUUCGAUGCAACGCGAAGAACCUUACCUGGCCUUGACAUGCACGGAACUUUCCAGAGAUGGAUUGGUGCCUUCGGGAACCGUGACACAGGUGCUGCAUGGCCGUCGUCAACU